UCAAACGCAAUCAACCUCAAUAUAAUAAAUAUCAUUAUUAUGCAAUGGUUUUAUAUCCUCGUAAAUAUUUAAAAACGAUUUUGCUAUUCCGUUUUAAUAAUGUUCAGUUAAAUUUUUUUUUUUUAUUUACCACCUAGUAAAAUAAAUAAUAUAUACAGCCACACAGGUACCACAGUAUUAUUACUGUACCGCGGAUAACUAUACGAAAUGUAAAAACAUCAUUUUCUUUCAUUCGGACGUUACGAGUUACGAUGAUUACUUAGUUUAUGUGCAUUGUGCGGUCCAGUGUAUUAUGACUAAUGGUGUGAUAUUACAGACCAUACAGUAUCCAAACAAAUGACCCUCUAGCCGCACACGAGUUUAUCCGAAGGGUCAUAACAAUUAAAGAGACGGGUGUCGGAGUGUGACAAUAGGAGAAAUUCAUUUUUAUAUCAUUAUUGUAAAAACUACGAAGACAGAAAACGGGUAAAAACUAUAAACGUACAAAUGGAAUUAAAUGAUAUAGGUAGGUAAUAUUUCAGAUAUUGAACAGUUUUAAUAAUAUUUCAAAACCACAAAAAACCAUCAUUAUAGCAGGUCUAAAACAAAAUUGUUUGAUACCCUAACUCCAAAGUGCAAUUCUACAUGACGUGACUACUGACUAUAUACCUAUCGCCCUAUCGCCUAGAUUUAAGUUGGAUUUUAUACGUUUAGCUAUAGGGUUAUUUAAAAAAAACGUCAACGACGAUCGCCGGAGCGUAUGAAUGAAUGUCAAUCCCUACGAGGAACAUGACGUGAAUAAUAUUGCAGGCGACAUGGUUUUGUCUUACUUUGAUGUGCCGCCCUUGGAAAAUAACGUACACUGUACGACUCGUUUCGCUGGAAUUCAGUCGACUGCACAGUGCAAAACGCUCAACAGACAACAGUGCACGAUUGAUCGAGAGAACGGGCCGCAGUGAAAAGGCUGACGAAGACCGCGUUUUCCUUUUGGACGGACCGCGUCCGACGACGGAGAGAAUACCAUGGUUACCCGCUCGACGAAUUUAUACCUACCACGCGGUCGAGGGGACGUACACUUUGUACCGUUUUUUGCCUCCACGUGGUUUAUGUUUCUCGGAACCGUGGGUAACCUCGACAUUUUUCGUUUCGUUAUUUUUGGUCAGUAAGUUAAAAGUUUUAAUUUGUAUUAGGGGAAAAUGUAGCCGUUAACCGUUUUCUCUACGUCCGCCGCGCCACCCCGCGCCAUUAUGUAUAAUAAUAUGUUUUCGGCGUUUAUCAAUCAGACUGUUUUUUUUUUUAUAAUAUUUAUAACACAUUAAUAUGAUUUACAUUUAUAGAUAUUCUCAAUCAAACAGUUUUCACAUCGACACGCGACGUUCGCGUUUGAGCGUUUAUAAGGUACUGUAUACGUCUUGAUUAUAGAUAUUAUUUACCUAUAUUAUAUAUGUAUAUAUGUAUCUAAUAUUAUAUAUUAUAUUAUAUUCAAUGAUAAUAAGCACGUUAGUACGUAGUUUCGAGCCUCAUCACUUCCGGUCCACCUAAAAUUGGACCUUUCCUAUCUUUCCUAAAGAUAGUAUCACGGUAAAAAGCCCCAAAUACAAUCACCCAUGCCAUGUAUACAUGAUAUGAUAUCAUUCACCGUUUCCUCGGUUACCUCUGUGACCGAUUUAUAAUUGGUUGUAUACAGUUGUCAGUUACACAUCAUGUUCAUACUACCUAUGCAUAUAUGUAUAAUAUAGAUUUGUAAAAUCAAAAUAUAGAAUCCUUAAAAAGUAUUUUAUUUUUUUUUUUAACACUCGAUUUCAUUGUUGGGAAUUUUCGUUUUCCGCCAAAGCGACCUAGAACGUUAUUUGAACCGUGUCCUUUUUCCGCAGAUUAUAUCCCAAUUUCCGCAUAAAUAAAUUAAUAUAUUAUCAUUUUUGAUUUUUUUUUUUUUGAGAACCCCUGAACCUAAAUUUCUAAUGAUUGUGAUUACGUGCUUACAUCCUCGCCUCGUAAUGUCUCUAAAUAUCAUAUCAAGUAAUAAAUUAUUUGAUUGUACCUAUUGUACAAUGUUUAUUAAAAAACUGCAUUUCAAAUUCCAAAACGUUCCUUCUUAUGUAAGUUAUGAACAGAAGCAACAAGAACCACGAAUAUUAUAAUAUCUAAUUAUAUUAAUUUAGUUUAGUAUAGUAUUAUGAGCCAUUAUUUCUUUAAAUAAAACUUCAAUUUUUCUUGCAUGUAUUAGAAAUGUAAUUAAUUGAUUAGAACUCUCGUCUUCCGAUCUUCGUACAUGCAAUUGGCUUGGAGAUGACCAACUCUCUUUAGUGGUAAUGAUCAUUUCAUUUUGUUUUUAUGUAAUAUUGUUGAAUGUUGUAAAUGGAAUUU